AAAGAUUUAUCGCUUCAAGAUGAGCCUGCGUAAGAUUAGCUAGUUGGUAGGGUAAUGGCCUACCAAGGCGAUGAUCUUUAACUGGUCUGAGAGGAUGACC
rnacentral:rRNA from 1 species